AUGUACCACUCGUACACUCCGGUUCCUGCGCGCCGUCCGCGCCCACCUGGCGGCUGCUCGCUACGUUUUGUUAGCC
rnacentral:sRNA from 1 species